rnacentral:rRNA from 1 species
CAUCUUGACGGUACCUAAUCAGAAAGCCACGGCUAACUACGUGCCAGCAGCCGCGGUAAUACGUAGGUGGCAAGCGUUAUCCGGAAUUAUUGGGCGUAAAGCGCGCGUAGGCGGUUUUUUAAGUCUGAUGUGAAAGCCCACGGCUCAACCGUGGAGGGUCAUUGGAAACUGGAAAACUUGAGUGCAGAAGAGGAAAGUGGAAUUCCAUGUGUAGCGGUGAAAUGCGCAGAGAUAUGGAGGAACACCAGUGGCGAAGGCGACUUUCUGGUCUGUAACUGACGCUGAUGUGCGAAAGCGUGGGGAUCAAACAGGAUUAGAUACCCUGGUAGUCCACGCCGUAAACGAUGAGUGCUAAGUGUUAGG